AGUUUUUGUUGCAGAGAUUCUUGCGCCAAAGUGGUCGAGAUGUUAACCUAACCACCGACUUUGCCUUUAGGGGUUUAAGAACCAUUUUAGACGCUAACAUGUAAUCACUGGCACAGUCUGUAAUCACCGGCAUCCGUAGAAGGCUAGGAAAGCUAAAGUCAUAACACCACAGGAGGAGGAUGCAUUGCGGGAGUCCGGGAUGACACCCCGGAGAAAAUUGCUUGAAACCGCUUUUUAUUUGAAUGGGCCGUUGUCUAUAUAGACUUGACCAAAAGUACAUGUCAUUGAGGUGAGUGAAUAAUAUGGUGAUUACU